GGAGGGCUGACCGAGUGGCCGAUGGUGGCGGUCUUGAAAACCGCUAGGCAGGACACCAAGCCUGUCUCGUGGGUUCGAAUCCCGCGCUCUCCG
rnacentral:tRNA from 1 species